rnacentral:rRNA from 1 species
UACGGAGGGGCUAGCGUUGUUCGGAAUUACUGGGCGUAAAGCGCACGUAGGCGGCUUUGUAAGUUAGAGGUGAAAGCCCGGGGCUCAACUCCGGAAUUGCCUUUAAGACUGCAUCGCUAGAAUUGUGGAGAGGUAAGUGGAAUUCCGAGUGUAGAGGUGAAAUUCGUAGAUAUUCGGAAGAACACCAGUGGCGAAGGCGACUUACUGGACACAUAUUGACGCUGAGGUGCGAAAGCGUGGGAGCAAACAGG